CCGUAGGUGAACCAGCGGAAGGAUCAUUA
rnacentral:ncRNA from 2 species